UAGGACUACCUAAUUUUC
rnacentral:siRNA from 1 species